rnacentral:rRNA from 1 species
CAGCAGCCGCGGUAAUACGUAGGUCCCGAGCGUUGUCCGGAUUUAUUGGGCGUAAAGCGAGCGCAGGCGGUUAGAUAAGUCUGAAGUUAAAGGCUGUGGCUUAACCAUAGUACGCUUUGGAAACUGUUUAACUUGAGUGCAAGAGGGGAGAGUGGAAUUCCAUGUGUAGCGGUGAAAUGCGUAGAUAUAUGGAGGAACACCGGUGGCGAAAGCGGCUACCUGGACUGAGACUGACACUGAGGCGCGAGAGCGUGGGGAGCAAACAGGAUUAGAUACCCCCGUAGUCCCUGUCUCUUAUACA